rnacentral:rRNA from 1 species
AGUCACUGACAUUAGAUACCCGUGUAGUCCAGGGUGUAAACGCUACAGACUUGGUGUUGGAGGCCCUUUGGGGGCAUUCAGUGCCGGAGAGAAGUUGUUAAGUCUGCUACUUGGGGAGUACGUCCGCAAGGAUGAAACUUAAAGGAAUUGGGCGGGGGGAGCACCGCAACGGGAGGAGCGUGCGGUUUAAUUGGAUUCAACACCGUAAACUCACCAGGGAAGACUGUUACAUGAAAGCCGAGAUGAAGACUCUGCUAGAUUUUCAG